rnacentral:rRNA from 1 species
UACGAAGGGGGCUAGCGUUGUUCGGAAUCACUGGGCGUAAAGCGCGUGUAGGCGGGUCCUUAAGUCAGGGGUGAAAUGCCGAGGCUCAACCUCGGAACUGCCUUUGAUACUGGGGAUCUUGAGUCCGGGAGAGGUGAGUGGAACUGCGAGUGUAGAGGUGAAAUUCGUAGAUAUUCGCAAGAACACCAGUGGCGAAGGCGGCUCACUGACCCGGAACUGACGCUGAGACGCGAAAGCGUGGGGAGCAAACAGG